AUUGAACGCUGGCGGCAUGCCUUACACAUGCAAGUCGAACGGUAACGCGGGGCAACCUGGCGACGAGUGGCGAACGGGUGAGUAAUGCAUCGGAACGUGCCCAGUAGUGGGGGAUAACUGCUCGAAAGAGCAGCUAAUACCGCAUACGACCUGAGGGUGAAAGCGGGGGAUCGCAAGACCUCGCGCUAUUGGAGCGGCCGAUGUCAUAUUAGGUAGGUGGUGGGGUAAAGGCCCACCAAGCCAACGAUCUGUAGCUGGUCUGAGAGGACGACCAGCCACACUGGGACUGAGAAACGGCACAGACUCCUACGGGAGGCAGCAGUGGGUAAUUUUGGACAAUGGACACAAGUCUGAUCCAGCCAGGCCGCGUGCGGGAAGAAGGCCUUCUGGUUGUAAACCGCUUUUGUCAGGGAAGAAACGCUCUGGGUUAAUACCCUGGGGUCAUGACGGUACCGUAAGAAUAAGCACCGGCUAACUACGUGCCAGCAGCCGCGGUAACAC
rnacentral:rRNA from 1 species